ensembl:lncRNA
CAACAACAGAAAUAACGGAAAUAACGAAAAUAACAGAAAUAACCUCUGAAAGACAGAAACAUACAACAGAAAAUUAGGUGACAGGUCAAGAACAACAACGGAAAAAACGGAAAUAACGGAAAUAACAGAAAUAACCUCCGAAAGACAGUAACAUACGGCAGAAAAUUAGGUGACAGGUGAAGAACAACAACGGAAAUAACAGAAAAAAACAAAAUAACGGAAAUAGUAACGGAAAUACCAGAAACAAUUACGGAAAUACAAAAAAAUAAUAAGGCAAAUAAGAACGGAAAUAAGAGCAGAAAUAAUGGAAAUAAUAACGGAAAUAAUAACCUAAAUAACGGAAAUAACAGAAAUAACGGAAAUAACCUCCAGAGAGACAGAAACAUACGGCAGAACAUUAGGUGACAGGUCAAGGACAGCAACGGAAAGAACGGAAAUAACGGAAAUAACCACCGAAAGACAGAAACAUACGGCAGAAAAUUAGGUGACAGGUCAAGAACAACAACGGAAAGAACGGAAAUAACAGAAAGAACCUCCAGAGAGACAGAAACAUAUGGCAGAAAAUUAGGUGACAGGUCAAGAACAACAACGGAAAUUACGGAAAUAACGGAAAUAAUGGAAAGAACGGAAAUAAUGGAAAGAUCGGAAAGAACGGAAGGAACAGAAAGAACAGAAAUAACUGAAAAUACGGAAAUAAUAACGGUAAUAACGGAAAUAACCUCCACAGAGACAGAAACAUACAGAAGAAAAUUUAAUGACAG